AUAAAGACUCAUCCUUUUGGAUGAGUUAUUUCAAUGAGUUGAAUAUAAAUUAUUCUUCGAGUAGCAAGGAGAGGGCAAGUCUGGUGCCAGCAGCCGCGGUAAUUCCAGCUCUCCUAGUGUAUCUCGUUAUUGCUGCGGUUAAAAAGCUCGUAGUUGGAUCUAGGUUACGUGCCGCAGUUCGCAAUUUGCGUUAACUGUGGUCGUGACUUCUAAUUUGCUGGUUUGAGGUUGGGUUCGCCCUUCAACUGCCAGCAGGUUUACCUUGAAUAAAUCAGAGUGCUCAAUACAGGCGCUUGCUUGAAUAGCUCAUCAUGGAAUAAUGAAACAGGACUUCGGUUCUUUUUGUUGGUUCUAGAAUUGAUCUAAUGGUUAAGAGGGACAAACCGGGGGCAUUCGUAUCAUUACGCGAGAGGUGAAAUUCGUGGACCGUAGUGAGACGCCCAAUAGCGAAAGCAUUUGCCAAGAAUGUCUUCAUUAAUCAAGAACGAAAGUCAGAGGUUCGAAGGCGAUUAGAUACCGCCCUAGUUCUGACCGUAAACGAUGCCAUCUCGCGAUUCGGAGGGUUCAUGCCCUACCGAGGAGCUACCCGGAAACGAAAGUCUUUCGGUUCCGGUUGCAAAGCUGAAACUUAAAGAAAUUGACGGAAGGGCACCACAAGGCGUGGAGCUUGCGGCUUAAUUUGACUCAACACGGGAAAACUCACCCGGUCCGGACACUAUUAGGACUGACAGAUUGAAAGCUCUUUCUCGAUUUGGUGGUUGGUGGUGCAUGGCCGUUCUUAGUUGGUGGAGUGAUUUGUCUGGUUUAUUCCGAUAACGAGCGAGACUCUAGCCUGCUAAAUAGUCGACGAAUCUUCGGGUUCGUAUAACUUCUUAGAGGGAUAAGCGGUGUUUAGCCGCACGAGAUUGAGCGAUAACAGGUCUGUGAUGCCCUUAGAUGUCCGGGGCUGCACGCGUGCUACACUGGUGGAGUCAGCGGGUUUUUCCUAUGCCGAAAGGUAUCGGUAAACCGUUGAACUUCUUCCAUGUCCGGGAUAGGGUAUUGUAAUUAUUACCCUUAAACGAGGAAUGCCUAGUAAGUGUGAGUCAUCAGCUCACGUUGAUUACGUCCCUGCCCUUUGUACACACCGCCCGUCGCUAUCCGGGACUGAACUGAUUCGAGAAGAGUGGGGACUGUGGCUGCGAGGUUUUACCACUUCGCAGUUGCGGAAACCAUUUUUAUCGCAUUGGUUUGAACCGGGUAAAAGUCGUAACAAGGUAGCUGUAGGUGAACCUGCAGCUG
rnacentral:rRNA from 1 species